GUUCUUCACUUUCUCCUCCCUCCUGAGCCAGUUUGGUGCGAGUAACUUGCAGAUUUCUAAUCAUCAAAAAAAGACUUGAAGAAAUGGGGAAGAAAAUGAACCAUUUGCUGGGCUCAACUAACCAAACCCUAGGCAGGGUUUCUCAAAAGAAACAUCUUAGGUCAAAGAAACCCAAGUUUGAGAUUGGCAAAGGAAAACCAAAGCACAACCAGAGAAAGGAUAAGAAAAAGAAGCAUAGGACUUUGGCCACCCAGAUUGCAAAGCGACUGGACGAGUUUCCUUUGAUGUUUGCUGAAAUUAGGGCAAACAAUCAGCGGGCGAAAGAACUGAUGUCUGAGAUCGACGCUCACAUUCUUAAUCAACUUAAAGCUUGGGAUGAUGAAGACAACGGCUUUUGAGUAUUUGAUAUAUAUAUAUACAUCUGGAAACUUAAAUCCGGCAGCUUCAGAUGAAUAAAGAGAAGAUAAGACCAACAAAAAGUUUCGAUUUCUUAGGGUUUCUCAGUUGAUCUAUCUGUC